UAUAUAUAUAUAUAUAUAUAUAUAUAUAUAUGUAUACACACAUAAAACUUAACAAAUAGGUGUUUAAAAAAUAUUGAUGAAAAAAAUAUUAGGCAAAGUUGCAGUGUCUUAGAGUAUAUACACUGUUCAGAUAUAUUAUUCUUUUCUAUGCAAUGGCCCAGGAAAUUAAAGGAUUGUUUUUUUUUUUUAAACAAAAUUGUAUAUAUUUUUGAAAUGCCUAAUUACAAUUUAUAUUAAAAAGAAUAAUGAUUAUAAUCAUUCAGUGCUAAUCAAAGACAUAAAUACUGAAAAAGCUGAAAUUGUAUUAAUAUUGUCUAAUAUAAUAUGUUUUUAAAUCAUCAUUUUUGAAAAUAUUUACUUGUUUCAUUUUACGCGCUUCACUAUGUAGAUUUAUGACAUACAUGCAUAAUAGUUCUAUCUUUCUCUUAUAUGUAUAUAAAUAAUUACAUACCUCCUUUCUUCUCUCCUUCGAUAGAAAAAAAAAUCGGCAAAUUUAAUUUUACAAUUUUUUUUUUAUUUUCGAUUAUUUUAUCUUUUUUUUUAUUAAAAGAUGUAUUAUCAGAUUAAAUAACAAUCUAUAUAAGUACAUAAUAAAAACAAAGCUGCUAUAUUAUAGAUUGUAUUAAAAAAAAUGUAAUAGAAUAAUAUUGAAAUGUCCCAGUUGUAUAACAAUGACGAAGAACUAUGACUAGAUUAUAUAUCUUAAACAAUUAGAUUAAUAAUUUAGUUACAUUAAAAUUUACAAAUUAUUUUAUAGAGAGUUUAAAUUAAUAUUGUUUUCAUAUUAAAGACUCUUUCUCAUACAUAAAAUAAUUGUAGAUAAUAUAAUUUGAGUGUGUAAUUUAUAUAGUUAUAUAUGAGCUAUAUACUAUACUAUACAUAUAAAUUGAUAAAAAAUUUUAAACAUCUUGUUUAGGAACUUAUUUCUUCUAUAACAUUUUGUGUUAAAAUAAUAACGUAUUAUAUACCAUGCA